GAAAAAUUUUGAACAAAAGGUGUCCUCCUCUCUCUCCUCUUUCGCGCUCCUCCCAGAUCUCCAAUUCUCUCUGCACCUCACGCCGCGCUGCCUCCGACGACCAACGAGCGACGCCCUAGCCUCCGACGCCGACGCCGAUGACGCCUCCGACGACCGAGGUCCGCCGCUGCCCACGAGCGACGUCCGUCGCCUCCCACGACCGAGGUCCGCCUCCUCGCGCCGACGCCGACGCUGCGUCCGACGAGCGACGUCCGACUGACCGCAACUCUCUCUCUCUUCUGCUUCUUUUCAAAUGAUGAUUGCCCCCCUCACCCACCGCCACCGGCUCCACCAUUGCUUCUGAACUCUUUCGCCACCGCUGCUACAUCCCUCUCUCGUUCAGUUGCAGACAGAGACCGCGUGUAUAUGCACAACUCUCUAUGCUCCGCCGAGGUUUCGCGUUCAUUGUCCCGUUUGCUGCAGUUUCGGACAACGAUCUGGAAGGAAGAUGGGCGAGUCGUCUUGGCCUUCUGACGCGCAGAUGAUGAUUUAGAAGUGGGCACGUCAACAAUAUGCCUGGAGGACCAGUUAAGAUCGCUAGGAUUUAUCCGUGGAAAUGAUGGUUCUUUAUAUGGAUCAGCUCGUGAUCCUGCUUUCUUCAAGGAUAUAAAUCUCGAAGCCAAUCUAUCAAAUAAAAAGAUAAGGGAUGCUAUUUUAUCUAUGGGAGCAAGUGACGCAUACAUCCUACUGAGAAAGCUUUUGGCCUUGUGGCAGUCAAGGUUCUUUCCAAAAAUAUUCUGAAAACACUUCCCUGAUUGGUGGAUUUGAGGUUGAGCUUGGAUUUGCCUAGGCGUUGAUGCCCACCUAGCCGAUGCCAACGCCACCUCCGACGAGCGAGGUCUGCCGCUGUCCACGAGCGACGUCCGUCGCCUCCCACGAGCGAGGUAUAUUUCAGAUCGUGAUGCUUUUUUUCCUCAGGUAUAUUUUCAUUCACGACAUUUAGUUGACAUGAGCGUGCUUGUCGAAGGGCUUCUCGCUAGUACAAGUUGGGAUGAGCUUGCUUAUGUUUGGCAACAUGGAACUGAUCCUAGAGCUCCUUGAAUUAGGAUAAAAAUUUCAAUUUUUGGGGUCCCCUCAUUGAGCUGUGUCAACUUGGGAUCAGGAUUCUGAAUGGCCAAAUUUGAAAGUGUAAUUGUCGUUCUACGGUUGAUCUUGGUAAAUGACUCACAAAUAAUUAGACUCUAAAUUAGAUUCAAUAAAGCAGAGAAAAUUUCUAUUUGCAUUAUUAGAAUGGUGAGUUUGCGCUUGUUAUGUUCACCUUGUAUGAUAUAGCAUUAGUGAUGAUUCUCUAGUCUUAUUAUAAGGAUCCAGUUGCUGUUGCUGUAGUGAAAUUUGUGUCUCGAUAAUGAAUUUUCCGUGUUCGCUAGUUUGAUCAGGGAAAGACCACGUAGUUGCCUCUUCUUUGUCAUGCGAGGAUGAGGUUAACUUUCAAUAUUAUCAGUUCCUUUGUUUGGUUAGUGCAGCAUUCUUUGAUACUUCUCACUUUAUGGUCACUCUUGCAACUUGUGUAUCACCUGUUCCGGGCGUGGGAGUUCCAACUUCUAUGACAAAAUAGUUCUGGUGCUUGUCUCAAAACAUCAUUUCUUUGUUAAUUGUGUUUUCUGAGCAUUUGAAAUGAUUUGAAAGUGUCAUUUUAAUGCCUCUCUCUAAGGUGCAUAUUGUCCCAUCAAAUAAAAGAAGUAUUUUUAUUAGCGUGUGAAAGAUCGUGAGUUAGUCAUGGUAGACUAAUGGAGUCGAGCAUCCUUUAAUAUACUGUUAAUCAUGGCUACUAACACUCCAUUCCGGAAAGGACAAAAAGAGGAGGUGAGGACAAUUAGGGUGGAAAUAAAGUAAAUUUUGAAAUUUUGUGACAUUAAGACAGAGGGAAAUUUGAAAUUUUCUCCUGUAAAUUUCUGUCCUUCCCCAUUUUAUCGCUUUCCAAACAAAGCAUAAGAGUUUUGUAUGAUUUUGGCUUCAAAAACUUUUAGGAAAUUCACUUGUUUGAGUUGAGAAGGAAGAGUCAUGUGACAUAUGAGAGGGAACAAAGAGUGACAAGUUGAGCUAUCAUAACCUGAUUAGUGCUAAGCUUUAGUUUGCGGGAUGUGAAACUUGAGGUCACACAGGGCAUCUCGCUUUCUUUUCAUUGCUGUGAGUAUUAGCCAGCACACUAGUCGGAUUUUGAGUUACUUUCUGUUGCAUCACGAUAACAAUUAGUUUUUCAAUGUUUGGAAAGCGAAGGAUACAUUAGAUUUCCUUUUGUGUAUGAUGUGUGAUGUAUGAUUUAUAGGUUUCUCUGCUAAGCAUGUAAUUUGUGUGCUUUACUAAUCUUUAAGUGUGGACCCAAGUUGAGAAGGUCGAUCUUGCAACUGAUCUCAAUCAUGAGCAAAUUAAUCUGCAUUCUUCCAUUCAUAUCAUAGCUAUCAAUUGAAGAACAAUAGGGAAUGAAAGACAGGAAAAGCAUGAUAGAUCCUAGAUGGAACCCACAAUGGCGGAGAAGAUCGAAAGGAAUCUGCAACCUGGGAACACCGGCUUUUCUGCUUACAUUUCCCUUCCAUUGCCUUUUGUUUUAUAAUUCAAUAUUUUAUGUUUAGAUUGUU